ACUCAGACUUGUCUUGAAGAACCUGACAGCUCUUAUGAUCCUAAAAAAGAUACUUCAGAUCCACACUGUUGCGAAUGCAAAAUCAACUAUAGAGAUCCAGAGGAAAAGGAUUUGGUUAUGUACUUACAUGCUUGGAAAUAUAGGGGUAUUAACUGGGAAUACAAAACUGAGUUGCCCGACUGGGCUUGUGAAACAAAUAUUAAUUAUAAUCAGCUGUGAAUAAUUAAAUAGGAAAAAGUUUCGAAAGGUGUCUUGAUUCUGAGCCUUGUUUAGAAAAAUAAAUUUUAAAAUAAAACACUUUUUAGCAGAUGGGA